GACAGAGGUCCCAAGCGUUAGGCGGAAUCACUGGGCUUAAAGCGUGUGUAGGCGGAUCCGUAAGUACCUUGUGAAAUCCCACGGCUCAACCGUGGAACUGCUGGGUAUACUGCGGGUCUUGAGCCACCUAGGGGCGAGCGGAACAAGUGGUGGAGCGGUGAAAUGCGCAGAUAUCGGGAAGAACACCCGUGGCUAAGGCGGCUCUCUAGUACGGUACUGACGCUGAGACGCGAAAGCGUGGGGAGCGAACAGG
rnacentral:rRNA from 1 species